UUUAGUUAGUCAAAAUUUAAGUAGAGAUGAAAUUCUCAGACGGCGCGUCAUAAUUCGUCUUCUCUUUGUCGGACACAAGUUCAUGCGAGCCUCAUUCUACGGAACGAGGCAUUCUCCAGUUCCACUCUUGUUGGUGUUUGGGCGUUGGCCCCCCUCCGCGCGGCCAUAUCCCCUAGGCUAAACUUGAAGGUGGCAGGAAGGCUGAAGAUUGCAAUGGAUGAAGGGGAGAAUGCAAUUCCACAGAACUGUGGGCCUUUCAGCUUGCUGAAAAGCACGGUGAGCGUGAAAAUGCAUGAGAACGGGAUGAUGUUUCGUGCGUUGGCCGACCGGCAGAGUUACGCAAUAGAUGACCGGUAACCUCACGGGCAGAUUUGACCUCUAAUUCGGUGGGACCGGUCAUCACAUUGUGCUUCUGCAUCUCGCGAAUGUCCCCGGCGGCCGAUCUCGCUCUUUCGGCGAGAACAGAUCAAAGAACUGUUCCUGAUACAGUUCCAAAGGAGCAGGUCACAUUGAACUUGUAUUCCUCGUUCAGUUCGGCACUGACAUCGAGCUGUUGGUGGAUUCGCAGUGAAGAAAUUUACAAAUGUACAAUUUACAAAACUAAUAAAGAGCACACUAUUAACUACGGAA